rnacentral:rRNA from 1 species
CACGUAGGCGGCUCUUUAAGUCAGGGGUGAAAUCCUGGAGCUCAACUCCAGAACUGCCCUUGAUACUGAGGAGCUUGAGUCCGGGAGAGGUGAGUGGAACUGCGAGUGUAGAGGUGAAAUUCGUAGAUAUUCGCAAGAACACCAGUGGCGAAGGCGGCUCACUGGCCCGGUACUGACGCUGAGGUGCGAAAGCGUGGGAGCAACA